rnacentral:ncRNA from 1 species
AACAGCGACACGGGGUGCCCGGGCCAUGACCUUCAAACAUGCUGGAAGCGACGCCAAAGCGGGUCGGCUGGGCUGAGAUCACACUCGUUGAACCUGACAUAGACAAUGCUAUCGAAGGGAAUGUCAUGACCCAGUCUG